rnacentral:misc_RNA from 1 species
AGGAAGCAGUGCGCCUGCGCUUCUUCACGGUAUCAGCAGGGGUAGCAUCGUAGUCAAAGCUAAUUGGGCUCUGGGCAGUACUACUAACAGCAGCACGUGAACGUGGAGCAUAGUCAGAAUCCUCCUCAGCAACAUGGCCAGAAGAAGGGUUUGACGAAGUAGUGGUUUGACUGAGGCUUUCAGCUGCCAUAUUAAUAGCAGGUUCCUGGCAGCUGAUAUGUACAUCGACCAGACAAUCGUUUUGAAUAGCUAUAGGAGAGACAGCAGCUGUUCGAACAGUCCUUAGCAGGCUAGCCUUAGAAGGUGUUGUACUCAG